GGAGUCGGGCAGUGUGUCAUGUUCAUACUCAAGAUCUUGGUUGCAGGAGAUGAAGGUGAGUGCUGGAGACCAACCUCCUCUAUCUGCAUGUGAAUCCCGGGCCCUCAAAGUGUCCUCGCAUUCCUUCCCUGGUGGAGUCUAUGCAGAUUUCCCUCAGUGCCUGAUCUGUGGGGGUGUUUCCCCCUGUGGCAAAGUCCAGGAAGGCCCCUGAUCCCUCCUGGCCUGACUGCUGGGCACUGUCACUGCAGAGCUACACCCAAGAGAUGGUCGAGGAGCUGGUGGAUGGUUUCCAGUUCAGCCUCUCCCUGGAGAGAACACAAGUGCACCAGUCCAUCAAUGACCAGGGCUGCUCUGAGGUCCUGUCUUCCAUGGUACAUCCCAAGUGAUGCCCUGAUAGCCUCCUUUAUAGCUGGAGGCAUCUUCCCUUAUUCCAGCCAGGAGGGCAGAGCACAGGCCCAUCUAAAAAAUGCCAUCUCUUCUCUGGUGGGAACCUGC